rfam:Fictibacillus arsenicus strain G25-54, complete genome.
AUGAAAGUAAGAGGAGAGACUGCUUUAGCGGCGCCGAAGGAGCAAACAAUUGUGAAACUCUCAGGCAAAAAGACUCUUGCUAGACG